UACGUCGAAGACGAGUGUUAUUCAUGUUUAAUCGGUUUAAAGGGUACCUAGACAGAAAACCAAGCCUAGCCAGGUACUAGUUUUCUAGAGUUUUAUGUGUGAAUAGCGAAUUAUCAGAGCAGGGUCGGAAUCCUCUAAUCCUGGUAGGACGGGUAACGGCAAAGGUUCUAUUCUAUGUAUAAACUAACGUUGAGGGACGAAGCCUUGGGUAGCGAUUAGGAUUAGUAAACC
rnacentral:rRNA from 1 species